rnacentral:rRNA from 1 species
GACGAACGCUGGCGGCGUGCCUAAUACAUGCAAGUAGAACGCACAGUUUAUACCGUAGCUUGCUACACCAUAGACUGUGAGUUGCGAACGGGUGAGUAACGCGUAGGUAACCUGCCUGGUAGCGGGGGAUAACUAUUGGAAACGAUAGCUAAUACCGCAUAAUAUUGAUUAUUGCAUGAUAAUUGAUUGAAAGAUGCUAUUGCAUCACUACCAGAUGGACCUGCGUUGUAUUAGCUAGUAGGUGAGGUAACGGCUCACCUAGGCGACGAUACAUAGCCGACCUGAGAGGGUGAUCGGCCACACUGGGGCUGAGACACGGCCCAGACUCCUACGGGAGGCAGCAGUAGGGAAUCUUCGGCAAUGGACGAAAGUCUGACCGAGCAACGCCGCGUGAGUGAAGAAGGUUUUCGGAUCGUAAAGCUCUGUUGUAAGAGAAGAACGGGUGUGAGAGUGGAAAGUUCACACUGUGACGGUAUCUUACCAGAAAGGGACGGCUAACUACGG